UGGGGAAUUUUGGACAAUGGGGGAAACCCUGAUCCAGCCAUCCCGCGUGUGCGAUGAAGGCCUUCGGGUUGUAACGCACUUUUGGCAGGAAAGAAACGUCAUGGGUUAAUACCCCGUGAAACUGACGGUACCUGCAGAAUAAGCACCGGCUAACUACGUGCCAGCAGCCGCGGUAAUACGUAGGGUGCAAGCGUUAGUCGGAAUUACUGGGCGUAAAGCGUGCGCAGGCGGUUCGGAAAGAAAGAUGUGAAAUCCCAGAGCUCAACUUUGGAACUGCAUUUUUAACUACCGGGCUAGAGUGUGUCAGAGGGAGGUGGAAUUCCGCGUGUAGCAGUGAAAUGCGUAGAUAUGCGGAGGAACACCGAUGGAGAAGGCAGCCUCCUGGGAUAACACUGACGCUCAUGCACGAAAGCGUGGGGAGCAAACAGG
rnacentral:rRNA from 1 species